GACGAACGCUGGCGGCGUGCUUAACACAUGCAAGUCGAACGGAAAGGCCCUGCUUUUGUGGGGUGCUCGAGUGGCGAACGGGUGAGUAACACGUGAGUAACCUGCCCUUGACUUUGGGAUAACUUCAGGAAACUGGGGCUAAUACCGGAUAGGAGCUCCUGCUGCAUGGUGGGGGUUGGAAAGUUUCGGCGGUUGGGGAUGGACUCGCGGCUUAUCAGCUUGUUGGUGGGGUAGUGGCUUACCAAGGCUUUGACGGGUAGCCGGCCUGAGAGGGUGACCGGCCACCAUGGGAAUGGGAAACCGGCCAGACUCCUACGGGAGGCAGCAGUGGGGAAUAUUGCACAAUGGGCGGAAGCCUGAUGCAGCAACGCCGCGUGCGGGAUGACGGCCUUCGGGUUGUAAACCGCUUUCGCCUGUGACGAAGCGUGAGUGACGGUAAUGGGUAAAGAAGCACCGGCUAACUACGUG
rnacentral:rRNA from 1 species